rnacentral:rRNA from 1 species
GAUCUAGCCAUGGGCAGGUUGAAGGUUGGGUAACACUAACUGGAGGACCGAACCGACUAAUGUUGAAAAAUUAGCGGAUGACCUGUGGCUGGGGGUGAAAGGCCAAUCAAACCGGGAGAUAGCUGGUUCUCCCCGAAAGCUAUUUAGGUAGCGCCUCGUGAAUUCAUCUCCGGGGGUAGAGCACUGUUUCGGCUAGGGGGCCAUCCCGGCUUACCAACCCGAUGCAAACUGCGAAUACCGGAGAAUGUUAUCACGGGAGACACACGGCGGGUGCUAACGUCCGUCGUGAAGAGGGAAACAACCCAGACCGCCAGCUAAGGUCCCAAAGUCAUGGUUAAGUGGGAAACGAUGUGGGAAGGCCCAGACAGCCAGGAUGUUGGCUUAGAAGCAGCCAUCAUUUAAAGAAAGCGUAAUAGCUCACUGGUCGAGUCGGCCUGCGCGGAAGAUGUAACGGGGCUAAACCAUGCACCGAAGCUGCGGCAGCGACACUGUGUGUUGUUGGGUA